rnacentral:rRNA from 1 species
GAUGAACGCUGGCGGCGUGCUUAACACAUGCAAGUCGAACGAGAAGUGAAGACGGAAACCUUCGGGCGGAAGGCUUUAUUUCGAGUGGCGGACGGGUGAGUAACGCGUGGGUAACCUGCCUCAUACAGGGGGAUAACAGUUGGAAACGACUGGUAAUACCGCAUAAGACCACAGCACCGCAUGGUGCGGGGGUAAAAACUCCGGUGGUAUGAGAUGGACCCGCGUUCGAUUAGCCAGUUGGCGGGGUAACGGCCCACCAAAGCGACGAUCGAUAGCCGAUCUGAGAGGAUGACCGGCCACAUUGGGACUGAGACACGGCCCAAACUCCUACGGGAGGCAGCAGUGGGGAAUAUUGCACAAUGGGGGAAACCCUGAUGCAGCGACGCCGCGUGAGUGAAGAAGUAUUUCGGUAUGUAAAGCUCUAUCAGCAGGGAAGAAAAUGACGGUACCUGAGUAAGAAGCCCCGGCUAACUACGUG